rnacentral:rRNA from 1 species
CCUACGGGAGGCAGCAGUGAGGAAUAUUGGUCAAUGGGCGGAAGCCUGAACCAGCCAAGUCGCGUGAGGGAAUAAGGCCCUACGGGUCGUAAACCUCUUUUGCCGGGGAGCAAGGGCGGGGACGUGUCCCGGCCCGGAGAGUACCCGGAGAAAAAGCAUCGGCUAACUCCGUGCCAGCAGCCGCGGUAAUACGGAGGAUGCGAGCGUUAUCCGGAUUUAUUGGGUUUAAAGGGUGCGUAAGCGGGCUUUUAAGUCAGCGGUGAAAGGCUACGGCUCAACCGUAGUAAGCCUUUGAAACUGGGGAA